rnacentral:rRNA from 1 species
UACGUAGGGUCCGAGCGUUGUCCGGAAUUAUUGGGCGUAAAGGGCUCGUAGGCGGUUCGUCACGUCGGGAGUGAAAACUCGGGGCUUAACCCCGAGCCUGCUUCCGAUACGGGCAGACUAGAGGUAGGCAGGGGAGAGCGGAACUCCUGGUGUAGCGGUGGAAUGCGCAGAUAUCAGGAAGAACACCGGUGGCGAAGGCGGCUCUCUGGGCCUUACCUGACGCUGAGGCGCGAAAGCUAGGGGAGCGAACAGG